GAUGAACGCUGGCGGCGUGCCUAAUACAUGCAAGUCGAGCGAACAGACGAGGAGCUUGCUCCUCUGACGUUAGCGUCGGACGGGUGAGUAACACGUGGAUAACCUACCUAUAAGACUUGGAUAACUUCGGGAAACCGGAGCUAAUACCGGAUAAUAUAUUGAACCGCAUGGUUCAAUGGUGAAAGACGGUUUUGCUGUCACUUAUAGAUGGAUCCGCGCCGCAUUAGCUAGUUGGUAAGGUAACGGCUUACCAAGGCAACGAUGCGUAGCCGACCUGAGAGGGUGAUCGGCCACACUGGGACUGAGACACGGUCCAGACUCCUACGGGAGGCAGCAGUAGGGAAUCUUCCGCAAUGGGCGAAAGCCUGACGGAGCAACGCCGCGUGAGUGAUGAAGGUCUUCGGAUCGUAAAACUCUGUUAUUAGGGAAGAACAAAUGUGUAAGUAACUAUGCACGUCUUGACGGUACCUAAUCAGAAAGCCACGGCUAACUACGUG
rnacentral:rRNA from 1 species